rnacentral:tRNA from 1 species
CGAGUUCGUCGCCGACCGGCGCACGGCGGCGCCCUUCCCGCGGGCGGCCCGGGUGGCCGAGCGGGUCGUGGCCGCCGCGCGCGGC